rnacentral:rRNA from 1 species
AUGAGUUCGCCGGAGGACGCCCUGGGAGACAGCGCCCUGGCGCCGACCAUGGCCUCGCGUGUCUCCGCCGCCCGCAUCGCCGUCGUCGAGCUCGAGGACGACGACGACGACACGGCCGCCUCCACCCCGGCCCCCCGCUCCCGCGCCUCCCGGGGCCUCCUCGACGCCUCCUCCUCCUCCCCGGCCUUCCCCAAGCGCCGGCUGCCGAUGUCCCCCAUCUGCAUCGACGAUGACACGCCUCCUCCCCCGCCGAAGCGGCGGGAGCCCGGAUCCGCCGCGCCCGGGACCGGGACCCCCCCGUCGUUCGUCCCGUGCUCGCUCGCCCCCCGCCCCCGCGUCGCCGCCGCUCCCGGUUCUUUCUUCCCGAGCCCGUUCCGCGCCGCUGCUUUGCAGAUCCCUGGGCGGUCUGCCCCCGGAUCUGUCGACCUGGACAUUGUUGUCCUGGAGACGCCGGGCUACACCCCCGUGCGCCGGGUCGGGGCCUCCCCGGGGCCCGUCCCGUGCUCGCUCAGCCCCCGCUCCGGCGGCGAUGGUCCGCGCACGCCUGAUUCUGUUCUCCGGCGCAAUAUCGACUUCGAAGAUGCCGCUGAUCUGGGGAUCCCCGGGUCGGCUUCCCCCGGCUCUGCCGACCCCGACAUUCUUGUCCUGGAGACCCCGGGCUUCACCGCCUCCCGCCCGGCCGGGCCUUCCAGCGUCCCAAUCGGGACUCCGCCGUCGUUCGUUCCGUGCUCACUCGCCCCACAGUCCCGUGGUGCUGCUGUUCCUAAUACGCCUGUUCUACCGCGCGCGUUCGACUUUGACGCUGCUGAUUUGGGGAUCCCUGGGCCGGCGUUCCCCGGAUCUGUUGGCCCCAACGCUGAGACACGUUUCUUCACCAACUCGCGCUUGGAUGUGGCAGGCCCCUCCACUUUUCGAGGAGCUUCUUCCCCGAUAUCUUUGGACAGUGAUGAUGAGCUGGAUGACUUUGGGUACAAAGAGCCAUCAGACAAUUUGAUUUUACCCUGUGAAGAGCCCAUGCAGGAAGAGGAGCGAAACGACAACACAGAACAAGGAAACACAAAGCAGGAAAGGAUGCGACUAAUAAAGGAAGGGAAAGCGAAAAUGGUUGAAGAAAAGAAACGACAGCGGGAGGAAAAUAAGCUCAUGAAAGAGGCUAUUAAAGCUCAAAAGGCAGAGCAGAAGAAGUAUGCAAAAGAAAAAGAAGACUGGGAAUCAGGAAAACAUGCUUUAAAAUCUAUUGUUGCUGAGAUUGACUCAACAAUCAUUGAAACUGGCUCAGUUGGAGGUAGUCUUCUAACACGGUUUGCAGAGAAAGGCCUUAAGUAUCGAGUUCAGGUUAAUCCAAUCAGAGGAUCGAUUUUGUGGAAGAUGGAGGUUCCUCAAAUUGGCCAGGACCCAGCUUCAGUGUCAGAAGUGCCAUAUAUUCUAUUUGUGCUUCAAGCUGAGGAAUUCUGUGAUCUUAUCAACAGUGGGUCCUUCUGGGAUCAUGUUCACCUUGUUCAAGAUCGCUAUCCAACGUUCACUGUUUGCUUUGUCACUAAUAAAUUGAUGAACUACAUAAAUAAAUGCGAGCGGGCUCAGUAUAGGAAUGCACCCAAUUUUAAUAGCUGGAAACGCCCACCAGUGGAAGAGGUUUUAUGCAAAUUAGCAACACACCAUGUUAAAGUUCACUCAAGGCAAUGUGCAGAUGAAGCUGAAGUAGCCGAUCAUGUUGUUGGCUUGACAUCUAGUCUUGCAAAUUGCAGAUUCAGGAAACCACUGUCAUGGUUAUCUGUGCAUGCUAAUGGUGCAGUGGUCCCUAAAAAUUUCAUUGAUAAAGAUCUGGCUAAGAAAGACACGUGGAUGAAGGCUCUAAUAGCCAUCCCAAAGGUCCAGCCAAGGUUUGCCCUCGCGAUAUGGAAGAAGUACAGUACCAUGAGAUCCCUUCUGAAAGUAUAUAUGGAUUCCACUAAAACUGUUCGCGAGAAGGAGCUUCUGCUGCAGGACCUGAUGUGCGAGGACCGCGUAGGCGAGGAAAGCCGAAGGCUGGGACCAGUAUGCUCUAGAAGGGUUUACAGGACACUCAUGGCAGAAGACGGGGCAGUUGAAGCGGAUGCUGCUGCCGAGUAA